AAGUUGGUUUUGAAUGUUUAUUUUAUAGUUGGAGGGUCUCAAAAUUGGAAAGAAGGUAUUAUCCGUUUUAUGAACAUCGGGAAAAUGGAAGCGGGAAAUCUGCUUCGGUUAAACCAACCGCCACAACGACUUGUCCAUUCUCGUCGUUUCUCUCACAGUCGAACUGUUACUCUUACUGUUAAUGCUUCUCAGGGAGAAAUUAGGUAUAGAGGGAUGAAGCCAAGGAGGGAAUGGAUAGCUGAUUGGGUAUCUAGUAAUGAUGAUUUGGUUCGGAGUAUGCCAAUUUAUGUGGGUGGAUUGUCUUUAUUGGCAGUUCUCUUCAAUCGUACUGUUUCUGGUAUUGCUCCGGUUGCUGAUGCUAGCAGUUCUCAAUCCAGAGCAGAUUUAUUGACACUUGGGUUGGCAGUCACCAACAUCUUGAAUGGUCUUGUUUGGCUUUCAAUCCGACCAAAAUCCAUAUCUGUGGUAAAUCCUAACGGUGUAGAGUGCCAAAGAAUAGCUUCUCACCUACCAGAUUUUGUUAUUUCUGAGCUGCUAUGGGCAUGGAAUUCUCUAUCAGAUGUCACAUGCUGCAAGUCUCUGGUCAUUGUUUAUGAUGGAAAAUGUAUCCUUCAAACUGGGUUUGCUGCUGCAUCUUUAUCUAAUGGAAGUGAUGCAGUAGCUGUGGACAGUAAUAAAUUGAUAGAAGGGUCACUUUACCAAGGAGUUUUAAAAUCUGCAUCACAGAGCUACUUGGCCAACUUAUCUCUUUAUCCUGGGAAGUCGGAGCUACCAUUUCUUCCUUCAAAUACACAGGCAGUAAUCUUGCAGCCUCUAGGAGACAAAGGAAUUGCCAUAAUUGGUGGUGACACAAUCAGAGGAUUCACAUCUUCUGACCAGGCAUGGAUCACAUUGAUCGGAGAGAAGUUAGAUGCUACACUGACAAAAGUUAUUUGACAUUCAUAGUGGCAGUGCAAGAUGGAUGUUUCAAGAUAUUCUAACAGCAGUAUCUUAAGUUCAAGUGUUUGCCUAUAAUCAUGUCUACAUUCAAAGCACAAAGAGUGGUAAUUUCUUUCCAUGAUUGCUUGCUUUGAAAUGAUUUCCCCUGUGAGCUUUAGCUCUGCUGUCAUGUUGAUUGGUGAAAGGCUGAGAUACUGUAGGAGGUAACUUUUUCGUCUUUCUUGUGGGAAAAUGAGGAAGAUUAUAUCCAGAGAAAACCAAUAUGGAAAUUUCAUUCCUGGACCUCCCAUCUCCAAAGGCAUAGUUUGUAAUAGCUAUCCCAGAGACAACAAAGCUUCCUUGAUCUAAAUGGUAAAUUGUUGUAAUGCAUUGAGUGAUUCCUUAUAUGCCUUGUGUGUAUACGACUUCAUGUUUUAAUGUGAUAUAUCAUGCAUAUUAUACUUGAUGGCUCAUAUGAUUUUGUUCGUUGUGAUUUUGAUUAGAUAUGGUUUAGACGGAGUGAUGUUAUUUCAGCAUUGAAAGGUUAGCAGUCAGAUGUGAUCUAGUUGGAUCUGGCUCUAGGAAGAGUGAUGUUGUUUCAACCUUGAAUGGUUGGUUAUUCAUUGUAAUCUGGUUGGAUAUGGUUUCAGGUGGAUAUAUGAACCUCGCGACACCCCUAUAGGUUAUGCUAUCUGACAGAUUGAGCGAGUGUAUACCAGUUAUAUUUGAUCAUUACAUUACAUUGCAUCAUCUCCAUUAUUUCCGACUUACUGAAGUUGUUGAGUUUAUUAGUGGAUUCUAGGAUGGUUUGUGACCAUAUCUGUCAGACUUAUUUGUAUAUUCUUAUUGAAACUGAUAUACAGUCAAUUGUUGAAGUAAGCAGUUAUAAGACCAACCCCGCCACCACUUCAGUUAAGGGUCGGUCAACGAUACUGCUGAGUCCACGUGUUUUCCGUACUCACACUACACUUGCUUCACCUUUUGUGCAGAUUUUGUUUCGAGUACCAACGGUGAGUCAGUGAUAUCAUUCGUUUUUUGGAUGACCUGAAAAUUCAGAGUAGUUGUACAUAAAAUGUUGAGUAGUACACCCUCACGGUGCGGGUAUUAUCAAGUCCCAAAUCCGAAGAUUAUGUCUCAUCUUUUUCUAUAGUUUCUAAGUUGUAGAGGAUAUUUGCUUAUUAUGCAGGUAUACAUAAUAUAAUGCAUUGGCUUCGUGUA